UUCCUUGAACCGCAUGGUUCAAGGAUGAAAGACGGUUUCGGCUGUCACUUACAGAUGGACCCGCGGCGCAUUAGCUAGUUGGUGGGGUAAUGGCUCACCAAGGCGACGAUGCGUAGCCGACCUGAGAGGGUGAUCGGCCACACUGGGACUGAGACACGGCCCAGACUCCUACGGGAGGCAGCAGUAGGGAAUCUUCCGCAAUGGACGAAAGUCUGACGGAGCAACGCCGCGUGAGUGAUGAAGGUUUUCGGAUCGUAAAGCUCUGUUGUUAGGGAAGAACAAGUGCGAGAGUAACUGCUCGCACCUUGACGGUACCUAACCAGAAAGCCACGGCUAACUACGUGCCAGCAGCCGCGGUAAUACGUAGGUGGCAAGCGUUGUCCGGAAUUAUUGGGCGUAAAGGGCUCGCACGCGGUUUCUUAAGUCUGAUGUGAAAGCCCCCGGCUCAACCGGGGAGGGUCAUUGGAAACUGGGAAACUUGAGUGCAGAAGGAGGAGAGUGCACUUCCACGUGUAGCGGUGAAAUGCGUAGAGAUGUGAGGACCACCAGUGGCCGAAGGCGACUCUCUGGUCUGUACUGACCGCU
rnacentral:rRNA from 1 species